UUUUUUCAAUUACUGCCUUGAUUUAUGUCCGGUCUCUUUGAUGAGAUGAAAUUCACGAAACUGUAUAUCACUGAACUAUCUUUUUUCCGAAAUGUUUCCUAAUGUAAUAAACGGGGGAUUAUAUCUGAUUAUAUAGCAGCCAACCUUUCACUUGUAUGAUAGCUGCAUGUAAAGGAUGAUUUUUUAAACGCAAGUCAUAACUUUCUUUUCAAGCAAAGAUAAGGUAUAUUGCAUACACGGCAAUUGAAUCAUUACAAGAACAAUAUUGUU
rnacentral:lncRNA from 1 species